UACGGAGGGUGCAAGCGUUGCUCGGAAUUAUUGGGCGUAAAGGGUAGGUAGGUGGUCUCGUUUGUCUGCGGUGAAAGCCUUGGGCUUAACCUAAGAAGUGCCGCAGAAACGGCGAGACUCGAGUCCUGGAGAGGGUCGUGGAAUUCCUGGUGUAGCGGUGAAAUGCGUAGAGAUCAGGAGGAACACCCGAGGCGAAAGCGGCGACCUGGACAGGCACUGACACUCAACUACGAAAGCGUGGGGAGCAAACAGG
rnacentral:rRNA from 1 species